UCAAACUUUAUCAAUUUGAUGUUUUUUUUAUGAUAGUGCAUGUAAUUUAAAAGUAUGAACCAAAUUAGCGUUAGUUGUAGGUUCUGUUGUCAUGUUUUUGUAACUUAGCUGGAGCAGACUCGCAUCGACGUUUAAGCGCGCAAAUUUGAAUGAAAAGACGUUGGUUGUAGUGUUAAUUAUACCGUAUUAAGUUAACUGUGAGAUGUCUGAUUAGAUACACCGUCGAACAUUUAACUUUAGCUUUACUUAAAGCUUAUCUUAGUUACUCUAACAGCGUUCUCUCUUUUACCACAGCAUUUUCUACAUUGACCAACGAUAAAUAAAGUUAUAAGGUGCUUCUUGGGCAUCAACCCAGAGCGAGGCACAAAAUCUAAGAGGCAGAGAGGUCACAUGAACCAGCAAGUCUGCACUCUUAUCAGGAAGCUCAUUGACUUCGAAUGGAUGUCAAUCUAAUUGGAUAGAACCCACACUAUGCAGGUGCCAGCUGCGAGGGAAGGAGAGAGACACCUGCGACCCUCUCUAUUCCCACCUUUUUGUCUUUUCUUACAUUUCUCUCCCUCACUCUCUCUUCUCUGUCUCCUUCUUUCUCUUUUGACACACAUUCCUGUUACCCAGUGUCAAUCCCUGUUGCCCAGUGUUUUAUUCAUGUAAUUAAAUUGUAUUUUACUUCUAAAAAAUAAAAGCUAUGUCACUGUUUUUAUCAGUUUUGU